rnacentral:rRNA from 1 species
CCUACGGGCGGCAGCAGUGGGGAAUAUUGCACAAUGGGGGAAACCCUGAUGCAGCGACGCCGCGUGAGUGAAGAAGUAUUUCGGUAUGUAAAGCUCUAUCAGCAGGGAAGAAAAUGACGGUACCUGAUUAAGAAGCCCCGGCUAACUACGUGCCAGCAGCCGCGGUAAUACGUAGGGGGCAAGCGUUAUCCGGAUUUACUGGGUGUAAAGGGAGCGUAGACGGCAGCACAAGUCUGGAGUGAAAUGCCGGGGCUUAACCCCGGAACUGCUUUGGAAACUGUGCAGCUAGAGUGCAGGAGAGGUAAGUGGAAUACCUAGUGUAGCGGUGAAAUACGUAGAUAUUAGGAGGAACACCAGUGGCGAAGGCGGCUUACUGGACUGUAACUGACGUUGAGGCUCGAAAGCGUGGGGAGCAAACAGGAUUAGAUACCCUUGUAGUC